GAUGAACGCUAGCGGCAGGCCUAAUACAUGCAAGUCGAGGGGCAGCGCGGUAGCAAUACUGGCGGCGACCGGCGCACGGGUGCGUAACACGUAUGCAACCUACCUUCAACUGGAGGAUAGCCCGGGGAAACUCGGAUUAAUACUCCAUAACACAGGGAUCCCGCAUGGGAAUAUUGUUAAAGCUACGGCGGUUGAAGAUGGGCAUGCGUUCGAUUAGCUAGUUGGUGUAGGUAACGGCUCACCAAGGCUACGAUCGAUAGGGGGUCUGAGAGGAUGAUCCCCCACACUGGUACUGAGAUACGGACCAGACUCCUACGGGAGGCAGCAGUAGGGAAUAUUGGUCAAUGGGCGCAAGCCUGAACCAGCCAUGCCGCGUGCAGGAAGAAGGCCCUCUGGGUUGUAAACUGCUUUUAUACAAGAGAAAAACCCUGGUACGUGUACCAGGUUGAUAGUAUUGUAAGAAUAAGCAUCGGCUAACUUCGUGCCAGCAGCCGCGGU
rnacentral:rRNA from 1 species